rnacentral:rRNA from 1 species
GAAAAAGAACCUGAAACCGUGUACGUACAAGCAGUGGGAGCACCCUUUGGGGUGUGACUGCGUACCUUUUGUAUAAUGGGUCAGCGACUUAUAUUCUGUAGCAAGGUUAACCGUAUAGGGGAGCCGGAGGGAAACCGAGUCUUAAUUGGGCGUUAAGUUGCAGGGUAUAGACCCGAAACCCGGUGAUCUAGCCAUGGGCAGGUUGAAGGUUGGGUAACACUAACUGGAGGACCGAACCGACUAAUGUUGAAAAAUUAGCGGAUGACCUGUGGCUGGGGGUGAAAGGCCAAUCAAACCGGGAGAUAGCUGGUUCUCCCCGAAAGCUAUUUAGGUAGCGCCUCGUGAAUUCAUCUCCGGGGGUAGAGCACUGUUUCGGCUAGGGGGCCAUCCCGGCUUACCAACCCGAUGCAAACUGCGAAUACCGGAGAAUGUUAUCACGGGAGACACACGGCGGGUGCUAACGUCCGUCGUGAAGAGGGAAACAACCCAGACCGCCAGCUAAGGUCCCAAAGUCAUGGUUAAGUGGGAAACGAUGUGGGAAGGCCCAGACAGCCAGGAUGUUGGCUUAGAAGCAGCCAUCAUUUAAAGAAAGCGUAAUAGCUCACUGGUCGAGUCGGCCUGCGCGGAAGAUGUAACGGGGCUAAACCAU